CCUCUGCACUCCAGCCUGGGAGACAGAGCGAGACUAUACCUUAAAAAAAAUUGUGUGUGUAUAUAUAUAUGUAUGAGGGCAUAUGUUACCAAAGGAUAAAUACCUCACAAAAGAGUCAACACAGUAACAAAUGCGGGCCUCAGCCCUCGGAGGCUCUCAUUAGUUACCAGCAGGGAGACCAGGCUUCAGUUUGGGGCCCCAGGACCUCCCUCUCCUCAUGGUUCUGUUAUGAGCAACCUGGGAAAGUGAGGGGAAAAUGGGGAUUGUUAAGUAGUGCAGCUCACAUCUAACGGCCAAUCUGCCGUGAGGAAAGGGCACGCUGAGAAGCGCUGCUCCCUCUGGCUGGACUGUUAUUUACAAGGCCUAGUGAGACCACAGGCGGUGACCCUGGUGCUGGUCCUUAGGGAGGAGUCUCUGAAGUCAAGACGGAAGGCAGUGGAAACCCAGAGGGUCAGGCACUGAUUCACAAGGCCUGCUCAACACCCAAUAGGCAAAGCCCCCCAAAAGAAACCGUUCAGAUCCACAUGCCCGUGGUGCCCCCCACCUCGGGUGACCAUCUGUCCUGGGAUGCUGCUGGCCUUUUAGUAUGAAAAACAGAAAUUCCCAGGAAAAGCAAGAUGAAUUGGUUGCCCUGCCCCACCUUUAUGAGCUAAAUUGAAUUGUCCUCUGUGGAGGUUCCAAGGAGAGGCCCAGAAGUGUGUCAGGAAGGGUGGGUAGGGAGGGCAACCAGAGACAACUCGGACCUUGCCUGCCCAUGCCUUGGGGGCAUAAAAAAAGGAAAGAAGUCAAAUUGUCUGCCUUCUGGUGCUUUGUCAUUCGCUUAAAUGCAGGAAAAGUGGGAUUUGGUGUGGAACUCGGAACUUACUUGAAAGGCACUAUCUACAACACCCAUCACCAGCAGGGUAGGUGUUCCUGGUGUAGGAGAGGGCACUGGGAAGGGAGGCGAAGUGCCAUUACAAUGGUCAGCCAGAAGGAUCCCAUGAAGGAAUAUGAUGAGAAUCAUUCCUGCCCAGUCGUCACCAGGGACAGGUCAGCUGCCAGUAGAGGACCAUUCAUCUUCAGAAGGCUAUAGUCAUCACAUUUAUUCAGUAGCAAAUAUGGAUUGUUAGGCUAAACAGACCAUAAUUUAGAACAGCAGUCUCUCAAUUAUGCCAUUGGUAUUCAUCACUGUAAUAAAAUUGUCUAAUUGAGAAAGCUGUAUUGACAAACCAACAAGCAGUACAUUGAUUUAGUAGCAGUUUUGAAUUAUUAAGUCUGCAAUUUUUUAUUCCAUACAACGGUUACAUUUUUCAUUAGAUAGGCCUUCUCUUAAAAGGGGCUGAAGGGUUAUUUUGGAAAACUCUUCAGACUGAAGUAAGGAUUGCUUCAAGUAUGGGAAGAUUUGUGGAUUCUGAAAAGUCAUUUGGUUCUCUGUAUGUACUGGGUGUGUGUGUGUGUGUGUCUCUGUGUGUGUGUGUUCGUGUAUUUGUGUAGACUGAUUUUCCUAGAUGAUCUGAGCCAAAAAUGAAAAUUUAAAGUUUGUUCUACUAGUCCUGUGGACUGAGGUCACCAGUUGGGAAAGAAAGGAUGAGGAGUCAAUGUACAAGGCCACCUACCUGGUUGCACUGACCCAUGUAGAAAGGACAGCCACUGUGGUAGUGGGCAAGGACACUGCGGUGACAGUCCACAGCACAUGAUGGGGACCACAGCAAGUACUCAGUGGGACUGGUGUAUUGUUUACGUGAUUGAAAGGGGCGCUGUGUGAUUUAGGAAUAGCAUUUACCUGCACGUAGCAAAGACGUGGAAGAUAAUGGGUUAAUUCUCUCAUAUAAUGAAAGUCAAGCUGUAGGUAGUCUAAAGUUGCAUGGUGGCUCUCCAUGAUUCAGCCUCCAUUCUUUCUUCUCCGCUACCCCUAUCCUCAAUAUGAUUACAUGAUUCAUGAUGACUGCAAGGACUUUGCCAUCAAACCACUGAGAAGGUUUGAAGAAGGAAUAAAGGUAGAAGGGCGGAAAGUGGCACAUCUUCCAGUAAGUGGCACUUCAGCAUGCCCCACACACUUUCAUUCAUAGUUCAGCGGACAGAAGUUAGUCCUGUGACCACACUUAGCUCAGAGUGAGGCUGUGAGAUGUUGCCUUUGGCCAGGCACACCACCACUCUGAAACAAAACAGGGAUUCUUUCAGUAUAGAAUUCGGGAAAAUUAAUAUUAAGUUGGCAUUAGUAGUCUCUGUCACAAACACAUUACAUUAGCAUGGCUUUUGCGGGAGACAAAUUGGCAACAUCCAUCAAAACGUUAAAUAUUCAUACCCCUUGAACCAAUAAGUUUAUCUUCUACAGAGCCUUUCUAUAAAUUUACUCACAAAUAUGCACAUAUACAAGUAUAUAUAUGCUUAUUAUAGCACAGCAGUAUUAAUAAUAUCAAAAUAUUGGAAACGACCUAAGGGCCUAUCAAUGGUAAAAUUGUUUAAUAAAUUGUGGUACGUACCACGGAAUACUAUUCAGCUAUGAAGGAAGAGUGAGGUGAUUGUAGGUACUGAAAGGCCAAAUGACAUAUUAUUAAUUAAAAAAGCAAGUUGCAGAAUAAUAGUAUAUUUCCCUUAGUAGACUUUUGUUACACACAUCCCUGGGGAGGGGUCGGAAUCUUUGCAGGCAGAGGAAUGAACUCGUGUUAUUUGAAAGAGGUCCCAGACACUCUAAAAGAAAAUAAUAGUAAUGAGUGCAAACCGAAUCCCCAAUACAAAUAAAGGAGUGAAUUGUUACCA